rnacentral:lncRNA from 10 species
GUCGGCCUUGUGGUGAAGCAGCAAAGCAGAUGCUGUCAGAACCCCUCUGGGCAGCGCCCAGGCCUGGCAGCUGUGCAGCCCAAGGCCAGCUGGGGGUCGGGGCAGCAACGAGGCCCCAGCCUUGGCUCAGAGCCAGCACAGGGUCCACGUUAAAAAAGAUCGUGCAUUAAACAAGCGCUUCCGGCCGGGCGCGGGGGCUCACGCCUGUAAUCCCAGCACUUUGGGAGGCUGAGGUGGGCGCCCAGCAAUUUGGGAGGCCGAGGUGGGCGGAUCACGAGGUCAGGAGAUCGAGACCAUCCUGGCUAACACAGUGAAACCCCGUCUCUACUUAAAAUACAAAAAAUUAGCCGGGCGCGGUGGCGGGCACCUGUAGUCCCAGCUACUCGGGAGGCUGAGGCAGGAGAAUGGCGUGAACCUGGGAGGCGGAGCUUGCAGUGAGCCGAGAUUGGGCCACUGUACUCCUGCCUGGGUGACAGAGCGAGAUUCCGUCUCAAAAAAAAGAAAAAAGAAAAAAAAAAAGCGCUUCCACUGAGAGCCUCAGGGAGGCCUGCGAGGCUUAGAGUAGACGAGGUGAGUACUUGGGGCCAGCAGGGAACCCAGGGAGGAGCUGAAAUUCAGCAAAAGAGUAGGAAAGCCAAGAAAACCGUGACAGCCGGAACUUCAGUGCACGCCCUUCAGAAUAUACAGGCCCAGAGGCCCCAAGAAUGGGAGGAAAUAGAGGAAUUAAAUUGAAGAGCACAAAUAAUAAUAAAAUUACAAAUAAAUAACAAGGAGCUGCAAAUUCUCCUACUCACUGAUUCAAAGAGACUCUUAAGAAGAGCUGAAAGUGUCUCCAGAAAUCAAUGAAAAGUUAACUCACUUGUUAAGAAAAUUCAAGCACACCAGCAAAGCCUUCCUCAGAAGAAAAUCUGUGCUCUUUAAAUUGCUUUCAUCAAAACAACAAAAACCAAGAAAUUAAGUAGCUAUUUUAAGAAUUUAGUUAAGUAACAAAGAGCUAAAGCACAAAUAAAUGAGAAAGUUAAAUUAAUGCAUGCAGAAGUUAAAAUAAUUAACUAUGAAUAAAAGACCUGGUGGGAAGAAAACAUGAAGCCCUGCUUCACAACCCAGUGUGGAAAACAAAGAAAGAGCACCGAGUGAGGCAGGAUUUGCCAUGAGAAAGGAGCAGGGCUCAGGCAUGCAGGAGAGAUGAGAAGAACCAGGAGCGACUGUAUAUGCGGUUUCAUGGCAGCACAUUGGAAAAUGAAGAACAGAUCGAUGACUCCCUAACAAAAUAGAAAUAACCACAGCUUUUCCAAGAAGAAAUGUAAAACUCCAAUGGACAAUGAGGAUGGAAGAGAUAGACAAGGUGAUCAGAAAUCCAGAGGUCAGAUGGCAUUGACGGUGGACUUCUAUCAAAUCUCGAAAGGAUAGGUAACUCCAAGGUUGCUUAAACUAUUUCAGCCAUGGAAAAGAUGAAAAGGGCCCCAGUGCACUCUACAGAGUCAGCGAAACUUUUGUAUUGGCCUCUGAUGAAAACAGGACAAGGACAGGGCAUACAGAUCAAUAUCCCUUCUAAAUAAAAUAAUAAAAGAUAGGGCAGCAAAUCAAAACAGCAAUUACCAUAGUCAAAUAGAAUCUAUUCACAGAAUGGUUCCGUGUUGGAGAAUAGAGUUGUAUUUUCCAGGGUGUCAGCAAAUUAAAGAAGAAAAAUUAAUAUCAUAGGUACUUAAAAUGCAAUAACACAAUUUACUAUUACUUACCAUUCCUGGUUAAAUAGAAAUAGAAUAGAUUGGAAUUGCUAAAAUAUAAUGUAGAAACAAUAACAAAUAUUAUCUCGAGCAGUGAAACAAUGGAACAAUUUAAUUUAAAAUUAAGGACUAGCAGAAACUCCCGCUAUCAUUGUUGGUACUUAGUACUAUCUCAGUUAGACCAAAGUCUAGAAAAUAAAAUAAGAGCUGGUAAAGCUACUGUAAGAGAAAAUAAGAUUUAAAACAUAAUAAAAUUAUUUUUUCUUAAUGCUAUGUUAGAUGUCUACAACAUCUAAAAAUUCUAAAAAAUUGAUAACAUUUCUUUAAAAAAUGUCUUCGAUCUGAGGAUAAGUAUAAAACUGUUCUUUUCCUUCUUUCUUUUUUGUUUUGUUCUUUAGCAAAGUACCAUGAAUGGUAAUGGAGAAAAAAAAAUCCCUUUCAUAAUGACAAAAAAGUUGAUCAAAAUCAGGUGUGUAAAUUUAACAAAAUAAUCACAUGAUCUACAAAAAGAAAAUCAUAAAACAUCAUUAAAUAUACAAAAAAUUUGGGAAAAGAUCAUUUCUCUCUAAAUGAAUGUAUAAAUUAAAUGCAAUUUCAUUUACAAUAAUAAUGAUAGUACUUUUUCAUUUUGAAAUAGAUAAAUUAAUUUUAAAGUUUAUAUGAAGAUACAAAUUCCAUUAUUUAUUUAUUCCUUAAUAAACUAGGGAAAAGAAUGGUGAUGCGGUAUUGACUUGACAGAUAAUAGGAUAUACUAUAAGGCCGCUAUGACCAAGUCCACACGGUAUUGUCAACAAGAACAGAUGAAUCUGUUAAUAAAAGAAGACAGAGAGCCCAGAACCAGACCCCAGUUCUUCUGUGACAAAGUGCUAUCUAGGCCUGUGGGGAGAAGGAGGGCAGAACCAGCUGGUUUUCCAUCUGAAUGGGAAUAAAACGCACCCAGACUGUCCACUGUGCAAAAUGAAUGGAAACCCGUGCUGUAAUACCACCCAGGAGGUCACUGUCGACUUCGAGCAAAGGAGAUUCCUGAACCAAAACUGAGCCUAGAAGCCAUCAACACAUAAGUAGACCUGGCCUUAUAAAAUAUGAAAGUGCUUCAUGCUGACAGUUCUGUAUUGAUGGGGCUGUAGAAAAACAUUUGUAAGAAAAGUGAGAGAUAGAGAGUUAACAU